GACGAACGCUGGCGGCGUGCUUAACACAUGCAAGUCGAACGGAAAGGCCCUGCUUUUGUUGGGUUCUCGAGUGGCGAACGGGUGAGUAACACGUGAGUAUCCUGCCCUUGUCUUUCGGAUAACUUCACGAAACUGGGGCUAAUAUCGCAUAUGAGCUCCUGAUCCAUGGUGUGGGUUGGAAAGUUUCGGCGGUUUGGGAUGUACUCGCGGCUUAUCAGCUUGUUGGUGGGGUAGUGGCUUACCAAGGCUUUGACGGGUAGCCGGCCUGAGAGGGUGAACGGCCACAAUGGGACUGAGAUACGGACCAGACUCCUACGGGAGGCAGCAGUGGGGAAUAUUGCACAAUGGGCGGAAGCGUGAUGCAGAAACGCCGCGUGCGGGAUGACGGCCUUCGGGUUGUAAACCGCUUUCGCCUGUGACGAAGCGUGAGUGACGGUAAUGGGUAAAGAAGCACCGGCUAACUACGUG
rnacentral:rRNA from 1 species